UCAAAAAAAAAAAAAAAAAAAAAAAUGCAGAUUCCUGGGUCCCACCCCCAAAAGAUGCUAAUUUUGUAGAUCUGAGUAGGACCUAAGGGUCUGCAUUUUUAAUACUGAAGCAUGUGGUCUUCAAGCUUAUGGCAUGUAGUAGGGACAGGACGAAAAAUGAAACUGGAGAAUGAAAUGAAACCGAGUCAGUAUGAGAAGGGCCUCAUGCACAGCACCUGGAGUUUGGACUUCAUCCCGUGGUCUGCAAUAAAGUUAGCAUUAACAUUAUUAGCUGCCAGGCCAACAAAACCUUGAGUAAUCCUGCAAUACUCGGAAUCAAGAAAAGUGGCUACAUCAUGGUCAACUUUGAAGAACAUCAGCCUCAAGAUCUUUUAUACUAACUCAUAUGUUUAUUAAAAUCUAUUACUAAAACAGAUUUUUAAAAAUUA
rnacentral:lncRNA from 1 species